AUUGAACGCUGGCGGCAGGCUUAACACAUGCAAGUCGAGCGGGGUGAUGGUGCUUGCACUAUCACUUAGCGGCGGACGGGUGAGUAAUGCUUAGGAAUCUGCCUAUUAGUGGGGGACAACAUCUCGAAAGGGAUGCUAAUACCGCAUACGCCCUACGGGAGAAAGCAGGGGCUCACUUGUGACCUUGCGCUAAUAGAUGAGCCUAAGUCGGAUUAGCAAGUUGGUGGGGUAAAGGCCUACCAAGGCGACGAUCUGUAGCGGGUGUGAGAGGAUGAUCCGCCACACUGGGACUGAGACACGGCCCAGACUCCUACGGGAGGCAGCAGUGGGGAAUAUUGGACAAUGGGGGGAACCCUGAUCCAGCCAUGCCGCGUGUGUGAAGAAGGCCUUAUGGUUGUAAAGCACUUUAAGCGAGGAGGAGGCUCUUUUGGUUAAUACCCAAGAUGAGUGGACGUUACGCGCAGAAUAAGCACCGGCUAACUCUGUGCCAGCCGCCGCCGUAA
rnacentral:rRNA from 1 species